AAUCAACGCUGGCGGCGUGCCUCAGACAUGCAAGUCGAACGAUUAAAGCUCUCUUCGGAGAGUGUAUAGAGUGGCGCACGGGUGAGUAACACGUAAGUAAUCUACCUUUGAGUGGGGAAUAACAGUCGGAAACGGCUGCUAAUACCGCAUAACGCAGCGGCACCGCAAGGUGACAGUUGUUAAAGGAGCAAUCCGCUUAAAGAGGAGCUUGCGGCAGAUUAGCUUGUUGGUAAGGUAACGGCUUACCAAGGCUACGAUCUGUAUCCGGUCUAAGAGGACGGUCGGACACACUGACACUGAAUAACGGGUCAGACUCCUACGGAGGCAGCAGUCGGGAAUUUUGGGCAAUGGGCGAAAGCCUGACCCAGCAACGCCGCGUGAAGGA
rnacentral:rRNA from 1 species